rnacentral:rRNA from 1 species
GAUGAACGCUGGCGGCGUGCCUAAUACAUGCAAGUCGAGCGAACGGACGAGAAGCUUGCUUCUCUGAUGUUAGCGGCGGACGGGUGAGUAACACGUGGAUAACCUACCUAUAAGACUGGGAUAACUUCGGGAAACCGGAGCUAAUACCGGAUAAUAUUUUGAACCGCAUGGUUCAAAAGUGAAAGACGGUCUUGCUGUCACUUAUAGAUGGAUCCGCGCUGCAUUAGCUAGUUGGUAAGGUAACGGCUUACCAAGGCAACGAUGCAUAGCCGACCUGAGAGGGUGAUCGGCCACACUGGAACUGAGACACGGUCCAGACUCCUACGGGAGGCAGCAGUAGGGAAGCUGCCGCAAUGGGCGAAAGCCUGACGGAGCAACGCCGCGUGAGUGAUGAAGGUCUUCGGAUCGUAAAACUCUGUUAUUAGGGAAGAACAUAUGUGUAAGUAACUGUGCACAUCUUGACGGUACCUAAUCAGAAAGCCACGGCUAACUACGUGCCAGCAGCCGCGGUAAUACGUAGGUGGCAAGCGUUAUCCGGAAUUAUUGGGCGUAAAGCGCGCGUAGGCGGUUUUUUAGUCUGAUGUGAAAGCCCACGGCUCAACCGUGGAGGGUCAUUGGAAACUGGAAAACUUGAGUGCAGAAGAGGAAAGUGGAAUUCCAUGUGUAGCGGUGAAAUGCGCAGAGAUAUGGAGGAACACCAAUGGCGAAGGCGACUUUCUGGUCUGUAACUGACGCUGAUGUGCGAAAGCGUGGGGAUCAAACAGGAUUAGAUACCCUGGUAGUCCACGCCGUAAACGAUGAGUGCUAAGUGUUAGGGGGUUUCCGCCCCUUAGUGCUGCAGCUAACGCAUUAAGCACUCCGCCUGGGGAGUACGACCGCAAGGUUGAAACUCAAAGGAAUUGACGGGGACCCGCACAAGCGGUGGAGCAUGUGGUUUAAUUCGAAGCAACGCGAAGAACCUUACCAAAUCUUGACAUCCUUUGACAACUCUAGAGAUAGAGCUUUCCCCUUCGGGGGACAAAGUGACAGGUGGUGCAUGGUUGUCGUCAGCUCGUGUCGUGAGAUGUUGGGUUAAGUCCCGCAACGAGCGCAACCCUUAAGCUUAGUUGCCAUCAUUAAGUUGGGCACUCUAAGUUGACUGCCGGUGACAAACCGGAGGAAGGUGGGGAUGACGUCAAAUCAUCAUGCCCCUUAUGAUUUGGGCUACACACGUGCUACAAUGGACAAUACAAAGGGCAGCGAAACCGCGAGGUCAAGCAAAUCCCAUAAAGUUGUUCUCAGUUCGGAUUGUAGUCUGCAACUCGACUACAUGAAGCUGGAAUCGCUAGUAAUCGUAGAUCAGCAUGCUACGGUGAAUACGUUCCCGGGUCU